rnacentral:rRNA from 1 species
CCUACGGGAGGCAGCAGUGAGGAAUAUUGGUCAAUGGGCGAGAGCCUGAACCAGCCAAGUCGCGUGAGGGAGUACUGCCCUAUGGGUUGUAAACCUCUUUUGUCGGGGAGCAAAAGCCGGACGUGUCCGGCUGUGAGAGUACCCGAAGAAAAAGCAUCGGCUAACUCCGUGCCAGCAGCCGCGGUAAUACGGAGGAUGCGAGCGUUAUCCGGAUUUAUUGGGUUUAAAGGGUGCGCGGGCGGAUUUUUAAGUCAGCGGUAAAAUCGUGGGGCUCAACCCCAUCCAGCCGUUGAAACUGGGGAUCUAGAGUGUGCGAGAGGUAUGCGGAAUGCGUGGUGUAGCGGUGAAAUGCAUAGAUAUCACGCAGAACCCCGAUUGCGAAGGCAGCAUACCGGUGCACAACUGACGCUCAGGCACGAAAGCGUGGGUAUCGAACAGGAUUAGAUACCCCAGUAGUC